AGAAGCAUGCAAUAAUAGCUUAUAGAAUGCCUUGGUGUUCCCCCAGAGAAUCUGGGAUGUAAAAGCCUUGGAAAACCAUUCUAUGAGACGCUACUUCU
rnacentral:ncRNA from 1 species